rnacentral:siRNA from 1 species
UCGAUCAGAUGUUGGCAUGUGUA